rnacentral:rRNA from 1 species
CCUACGGGCGGCAGCAGUGGGGAAUAUUGCUCAAUGGGCGAAAGCCUGAACCAGCCACGCCGCGUGGAGGAUGAAGGUUUUCGGAUUUUAAACUCCUUUUUUUAGAGAAGAUAAUGACGGUAUCUAACGUGUAAGCUCCGUCUAACUCCGUGCCAGCAGCCGCGGUAAUACGGAGGAUGCGAGCGUUAUCCGGAUUUUUGGGGUUUAAAGGGUGCGAAGGCGGAAGAUAAAGUAGGCGGUAAAAUUGAUAGGCUAAACCUAUUAGAGCAGUUGAAACUGGUUGUCUUGAGUGAGCGAGAGGUAGGCGGAAUGCGUGGUGUAGCGGUGAAAUGCAUAGAUAUCACGCAGAACUCCGAUUGCGAAGGCAGCAUACCGGAGCGCAACUGACGCUCAUGCACGAAAGUGUGGGUAUCGAACAGGAUUAGAUACCCGAGUAGUC